rnacentral:tRNA from 1 species
UCCCUGGUGUCUCGGUUGGUAAAGAGACUGCCUGCAGUGCAGGAGACCCAGGUUCCAUCCCUGGGUUGGGAA